rnacentral:rRNA from 1 species
AGCUCCAGUAGCGUAUAUUAAAGUUGCUGCAGUUAAAAAGCUCGUAGUUGGAUUUCUGGAUUGGUGCGCUUGGCCCGCCGGGGUUACCUGUGUGAGUGCCGGUGGCACCUUCCAUCCUUCUAGAAAACAUUUCUACCCUUAACUGGGACGGAUCUUGUGAUCUAGAUCAUUUACUUUGAAAAAAUUAGAGUGUUUAAAGCAGGCUUGUGCUAUGAAUACAUUAGCAUGGAAUAAUAAUUUAGGACUUCGGUUCUAUUUUGUUGGUUUCUAGGACUGAAGUAAUGAUUGAUAGGGAUAGUUGGGGGUGCUAGUAUUCAGCGGCCAGAGGUGAAAUUCUUGGAUUCGCUGAAGACUAACUACUGCAAAAGCAUUCACCAAGGAUGUCUUCUUUAAUCAAGAA